GAUGAACGCUGGCGGCGUGCCUAAUACAUGCAAGUCGAGCGAACGGACGAGAAGCUUGCUUCUCUGAUGUUAGCGGCGGACGGGUGAGUAACACGUGGAUAACCUACCUAUAAGACUGGGAUAACUUCGGGAAACCGGAGCUAAUACCGGAUAAUAUUUUGAACCGCAUGGUUCAAAAGUGAAAGACGGUCUUGCUGUCACUUAUAGAUGGAUCCGCGCUGCAUUAGCUAGUUGGUAAGGUAACGGCUUACCAAGGCAACGAUGCAUAGCCGACCUGAGAGGGUGAUCGGCCACACUGGAACUGAGACACGGUCCAGACUCCUACGGGAGGCAGCAGUAGGGAAUCUUCCGCAAUGGGCGAAAGCCUGACGGAGCAACGCCGCGUGAGUGAUGAAGGUCUUCGGAUCGUAAAACUCUGUUAUUAGGGAAGAACAUAUGUGUAAGUAACUGUGCACAUCUUGACGGUACCUAAUCAGAAAGCCACGGCUAACUACGUGCCAGCAGCCGCGGUAAUACGUAGGUGGCAAGCGUUAUCCGGGAUUAUUGGGCGUAAAGCGCGCGUAGGCGGUUUUUUAAGUCUGAUGUGAAAGCCCACGGCUCAACCGUGGAGGGUCAUUGGAAACUGGAAAACUUGAGUGCAGAAGAGGAAGGUGGAAUUCCAUGUGUAGCGGUGAAAUGCGCAGAGAUAUGGAGGAACACCAGUGGCGAAGGCGACUUUCUGGUCUGUAACUGACGCUGAUGUGCGAAAGCGUGGGGAUCAAACAGGAUUAGAUACCCUGGUAGUCCACGCCGUAAACGAUGAGUGCUAAGUGUUAGGGGGUUUCCGCCCCUUAGUGCUGCAGCUAACGCAUUAAGCACUCCGCCUGGGGAGUACGACCGCAAGGUUGAAACUCAAAGGAAUUGACGGGGACCCGCACAAGCGGUGGAGCAUGUGGUUUAAUUCGAAGCAACGCGAAGAACCUUACCAAAUCUUGACAUCCUUUGACAACUCUAGAGAUAGAGCCUUCCCCUUCGGGGGACAAAGUGACAGGUGGUGCAUGGUUGUCGUCAGCUCGUGUCGUGAGAUGUUGGGUUAAGUCCCGCAACGAGCGCAACCCUUAAGCUUAGUUGCCAUCAUUAAGUUGGGCACUCUAAGUUGACUGCCGGUGACAAACCGGAGGAAGGUGGGGAUGACGUCAAAUCAUCAUGCCCCUUAUGAUUUGGGCUACACACGUGCUACAAUGGACAAUACAAAGGGCAGCGAAACCGCGAGGUCAAGCAAAUCCCAUAAAGUUGUUCUCAGUUCGGAUUGUAGUCUGCAACUCGACUACAUGAAGCUGGAAUCGCUAGUAAUCGUAGAUCAGCAUGCUACGGUGAUACGUUCCCGGGUCU
rnacentral:rRNA from 1 species